ACGCGGCGGCGGCGGCGGCUGCUGGCCUCGGCGCCGCCCCGGUUCCACUUUCCCUUUCGCUGUCAGGCGGCCGGCUUUCACUUCCUGAGUCAUUUAAAGUGGCAAUGGCCCUUUUCUGCUUUUCCCGCGGGGCUCGGCUCCGCUGCUCCCAGCCUCGGCAUCCCCGGAAGGUGGAGGAGGACUGAUGGAGCCUCUCGCUCACUCGGGAGGCGGGAAUGGGGACCCCGCCUCCCCCACGCCGUCCCCGGAGCUUUUCGAAAGCUGGUUAUGGAAGAUCCGCUGCUCCAGGACCUCCGAUGCUUGGUGCUAGACUCAUAGGCAGAGUGGACAGUGAGAGUGGUUCACCCUCCAAUGGCCACCGUGGCCAGCGCACCGCACUGAUCUGAAGGCAGGAGCCAGGCGCUUUUCCUGGUCCCCCAUGGGGUGCAGGGCCCAAGCACUUGGGCCAUCCUCCACUGCACUCCCUGGCCACAGCAGAGAGCUGGCCUGGAAGAGGGGCAACUGGGACAGAAUCUGGUGCCCCUACCGGGACUAGAACCUGGUGUGCCGGUGCUGCAAGGCGGAGGAAUAGCCCAUUGAGCCGUGGCGCUGGCCCAAUCUCACUAUCUUUACAAUCUAAUAUUAAGUGUUGUAUUCUUUUGGGGAUGUCAUGAUGUCUUCCUGUUUCUUGUUUCUUGAAUUGGUACAUUUGUUAUUUGGCAUUUGUGGAGAUAUUUGUUGGCUGCUUCUUUGUUUUUUUUGCUGCGGUGGCUUUUAUCUUCGGACCAUGUCUAGCUGUUUACUUCUUAUGCUCGUUAUCCACAGAACAAUUCUAUAGAAUGUUGAUAAAAAAUCAAGUUUUUCUAUCCAAUUCAACAUACAUUCCUGUUUUCUUUCAGGUCAUUCCUCUGAACUUUUUUUCUAUGUCUGCAUUCAAAAGAGGGAUUGAUGCAUAAUUCUGAAAAAGGACAUUCAAUACGUGUCAACUUGAACAUCAACAUUAUUAUACCUAAAGCAGAGAGAUGGCAAAAGAGACAGAGAAAUAGAGAGGGAGAUCCCCUCUGCUGGGUUCACUCUCUUCACUCUCCAAAUGCCUGACUGUCAGGGUUGGGCCAAGUCAAAGCCAGGAACCUGGAACCCAGUCCGGGUCUCCCAUGUUGGUGGCGGGACCUAACUACUUGAAUCAUCGCCUGCUGCUCCCAGGGUCUGCAUUAGCAGGAAGGUGGAAUCAGGAGCAGAGCCAAGACUGGAACCCAAGCACUCUGAAAUCCAUAUCCACCCUGAGGCACAUUUAAGAUAUGAUGAGAGUUGGGCUGAAUGGAGUCACCAUAUCAUGCAAGAAAGCAAGUGCGAGUCAAUGGGAGCUGUGUAUCAGGAUGCUUAAAGAGUAAGCAUUUCAGAACCCGACAGACCUGGAUGUGAAUCCUGACCCCGCCAUGUGUUUCCUUGGGGAAAACUCUGAAUGCAUUAUUUAAUUUCUUUAACUCAGUUAUUUUUUUUUUUCUGUACAAUAUGGGGGAGGGGUCAUGUCACUUGCUCCAUAGGUUCAUUGUAAAAGUUA